GUAGGUGGCAAGCGUUGUCCGGAAUUAUUGGGCGUAAAGCGCGCGCAGGGCGGUCCUUUAAGUCUGAUGUGAAAGCCCACGGCUCAACCGUGGAGGGUCAUUGGAAACUGGGGGACUUGAGUACAGAAGAGGAAAGCGGAAUUCCAAGUGUAGCGGUGAAAUGCGUAGAGAUUUGGAGGAACACCAGUGGCGAAGGCGGCUUUCUGGUCUGUAACUGACGCUGAGGCGCGAAAGUGUGGGGAGCAAACAGGAUUAGAUACCCUGGUAGUCCACGCCGUAAACGAUGAGUGCUAAGUGUUAGGGGGUUUCCGCCCCUUAGUGCUGCAGCUAACGCAUUAAGCACUCCGCCUGGGGAGUACGGCCGCAAGGCUG
rnacentral:rRNA from 1 species